CCUACGGGUGGCAGCAGUGGGGAAUAUUGGACAAUGGGGGGAACCCUGAUCCAGCCAUGCCGCGUGUGUGAAGAAGGCCCUCGGGUUGUAAAGCACUUUCAGUGAGGAAGAACGCCUGGUGGUUAAUACCCAUCAGGAAAGACAUCACUCACAGAAGAAGCACCGGCUAACUCCGUGCCAGCAGCCGCGGUAAUACGGAGGGUGCGAGCGUUAAUCGGAAUUACUGGGCGUAAAGCACGCGUAGGUGGCUUGAUAAGCCGGUUGUGAAAGCCCCGGGCUCAACCUGGGAACGGCAUCCGGAACUGUCAAGCUAGAGUGCAGGAGAGGAAGGUAGAAUUCCCGGUGUAGCGGUGAAAUGCGUAGAGAUCGGGAGGAAUACCAGUGGCGAAGGCGGCCUUCUGGACUGACACUGACACUGAGGUGCGAAAGCGUGGGUAGCAAACAGGAUUAGAUACCCUUGUAGUC
rnacentral:rRNA from 1 species